rnacentral:rRNA from 1 species
UUCCUACGGGGCGCAGCAGUGGGGAAUAUUGCACAAUGGGGGGAACCCUGAUGCAGCGACGCCGCGUGAGUGAAGAAGUAUUUCGGUAUGUAAAGCUCUAUCAGCAGGGAAGAAAAUGACGGUACCUGACUAAGAAGCCCCGGCUAACUACGUGCCAGCAGCCGCGGUAAUACGUAGGGGGCAAGCGUUAUCCGGAUUUACUGGGUGUAAAGGGAGCGUAGACGGCAGAGCAAGUCUGAAGUGAAAGCCCGCGGCCCAACCCCGGGACUGCUCUUGGAACUGCAUGGCUGGAGUACAGGAGGGGG